GGGAAGCGCAUCUUUUGUGUUUUCUAUCUACUUCCCCUUUGUUGCUGGUGCUCGUGCUCCCCUUUGUUCUUGCAGCUCCCGCGCACUACUCUUCUUCUGCACCGUUUUUCCUCAAAUCAGUGAUGAAUUCGGCGAGUAGUUUGUCGCCGACUCCGACUAUGCGUUUCAAGUUCGGAGCAUACCUUUGAAACGAGGGAGAGAUAUUCCAAUUUCUUCAGUCCGUCGCCUUUGCUUUCCUCAACUGCCGCCAUUGUCGCUGCUGCUUCAAGAAUCGAUUUUCAUCGACGGUCUCGCACUUUGUUGGUGGGAUUUCGAAAGUGAAAAUUGAAAAUCUGUGUAUAUUUUCAAGGUUUAUGUAACUCGUUGAGUACCUAAGAAGAUUCGCUUAUUUAAUUGCUGAAUUGUUGGUGAUUUAUUGUUCUUCCUUUUAGUUGUUAAUUUGAUGAAAAUUUAGUUGGUUCUGUUAAUUUACAAACUGCAAUUUAAAAUAAAAAUCUACAACGGAGGAAAUCCUUCUUCAUGAAAUGGGGAAAAACCUAUGUUAAACUAAUUCGGGUCAUUUUAGGGUUUGAUUUUUUGUUUUUGAUGUUAUUUAGAUCGAUUUUUUGAGUUUUGCUUAAUUUGCUGAUGUUAUUCAGUUUUGUUACAAUGUGGUGCUUGUAUGAGUUUUCCCCAUAUGAAUCUCUUUGGUAAAAUUUCGGUAUGAAUUUCUCUCAAGAUUUUCUUUUUCGAGUAUCAAUUGCAAUUUUAAUAAUUGUUUGCACUUUAAGUUGAUCUUAAUCGAAUUUUGCUGAUAAUUUGUUGGCAGUUUCUUUUUUAUUUUUCGUUUUGAAUUGCUCUGAAGUUUGUCAUCUGAUCUGAAUUCUUCUUUGUUAUAUUUCCAGGAAGUGAUAUCGGUGUUGAUAAAACACAUUCUUCAAUCUCUCCCUAAAUAUUAUUCAGAAUAUCAACUUGUAUGAGGAGCUUGCUGCUUCUAGAGGAUGUGAGCAAUAACUACAGGAGAAGCUCUUAAAGGAGAUCAAGGAAUCCUGAUUAGGGGCUACUAAAGUAGCAAAUACAAUAAUGCAACGAGCUCGGGGAACACCCUAGGUACCGUGAAUAAUAAUCAAAUUGUGAAACGUGGAUACUAGUUAUGGGAGGAAAGAUAGGAAAAGAAAGCAUGGGACAAACAUGAGUUUUUGUCUUGUGGUUCGCAGCAAGGAAAUGAACGCUUUAAAUCUAAAGGUUUUCAAAACUCCAAAGGAGGGUCCCUUUACCAAGAUGGAGUUGGAUGAAGUUCGAGACAAGUGGGUUACUUAAUUCAACGAUUGUGAACUACCCUCAGUGUAAUAAAUAGAGAAGGCUUGUAGUUAUUCGUGACUCCUACAUUAUUUUGUUAUUUAUCGAUUUAAUUAAUUACAUUUGAAUUAAUUCGGUUAUAUUAUUGGAAAUUUGAAAUUUAUAUCA